GAUGAACGCUGGCGGCGUGCCUAAUACAUGCAAGUCGAGCGAACGGACGAGAAGCUUGCUUCUCUGAUGUUAGCGGCGGACGGGUGAGUAACACGUGGAUAACCUACCUAUAAGACUGGGAUAACUUCGGGAAACCGUAGCUAAUACCGGAUAAUAUUUUGAACCGCAUGGUUCAAAAGUGAAAGACGGUCUUGCUGUCACUUAUAGAUGGAUCCGCGCUGCAUUAGCUAGUUGGUAAGGUAACGGCUUACCAAGGCAACGAUGCAUAGCCGACCUGAGAGGGUGAUCGGCCACACUGGAACUGAGACACGGUCCAGACUCCUACGGGAGGCAGCAGUAGGGAAUCUUCCGCAAUGGGCGAAAGCCUGACGGAGCAACGCCGCGUGAGUGAUGAAGGUCUUCGGAUCGUAAAACUCUGUUAUUAGGGAAGAACAUAUGUGUAAUUAACUGUGCACAUCUUGACGGUACCUAAUCAGAAAGCCACGGCUAACUACGUG
rnacentral:rRNA from 1 species